UGGGGAAUUUUGGACAAUGGGCGAAAGCCUGAUCCAGCAAUGCCGCGUGUGUGAAGAAGGCCUUCGGGUUGUAAAGCACUUUUGUCCGGAAAGAAAUCCUUGGCUCUAAUACAGUCGGGGGAUGACGGUACCGGAAGAAUAAGCACCGGCUAACUACGUGCCAGCAGCCGCGGUAAUACGUAGGGUGCAAGCGUUAAUCGGAAUUACUGGGCGUAAAGCGUGCGCAGGCGGUUUGCUAAGACCGAUGUGAAAUCCCCGGGCUCAACCUGGGAACUGCAUUGGUGACUGGCAGGCUAGAGUAUGGCAGAGGGGGGUAGAAUUCCACGUGUAGCAGUGAAAUGCGUAGAGAUGUGGAGGAAUACCGAUGGCGAAGGCAGCCCCCUGGGCCAAAUACUGACGCUCAUGCACGAAAAGCGUGGGGGAGCAAACAGGAUUAGAUAUCCUGGUAGUCCACGCCCUAAACGAUGUCAACUAGUUGUUGGGGAUUCAUUUCCUUAGUAACGUAGCUAACGCGUGAAGUUGACCGCCUGGGGGAGUACGGUCGCAAGAUUAAAACUUAAAUGAAUUGAC
rnacentral:rRNA from 1 species